rnacentral:rRNA from 1 species
AGUCGAUCCUAAGAGAGAGGGAUGUUCCGCGCACGCAAGCUUUGCUUCGCCCCUCGAAAGGGAAUGGGGUUAACCUCCCCCAACCAGGUCGUGGAUACUGUACGGCAACGUAAGAGAAUUCGGCGACGCAGAGGGGAGCUCUGGGAAGCGUUGUCUUUUCUUCUUAACCGCAUUUUACCCUGGAAUCAGAUUAUCUGGAGAUAGG